CUAGGGGUGAAUGUUUACAGCUAAAGCCCCAGAGGGCACGUGUUACCAGGUGUGCGCUCUUUUAGUUUGCCAUCUACAGGUAGGAUGUGUUAGCUCAAUUACACCCUCUCCCUUCUCACAAGGACAGAGGGUUUUCUGUAUCCUGGGGUUUCUUGCCUUGGUGUACCGGAAGAAUUGGAUCACACGCUGUCUUGGAGAACGAAUGCAAGGUUUUAUUGAAUGGAAGUAACUCUCAGCAGACAGGGGGAGCCAGAAGGGAGAUGGUUUUCCGGUGGAGAUGGGCCACCUGGCGGCGGGCCUCUCCUCCAAGUGCUCUAACCAAGCUCCGUGUUGUUCUGCCGGUGAGUGGCCUGCGGCCUGCUGGUGCGUUCCUCUCCACGUCUGGCCGCCUGUGUGUUCCUCCACAAACAUACUCCUCCGGAGGUCCAGUUGCUUUCACCUCUAUCCUGCUAGGGUGUUGGGUUUUUAUAGGCACAGGAUGGGGGCGUGGCAGGCCAGGGUGGUCUUGGGAAAUGCAACAUUUGCGCACAAAGGCAGGAGUGCCUGACCUCACCUAGGUCCUUGAGGGUGGAGCCAGGGACCACGCCCUUCCUCUACCCACACUUCCCUUCCCCACUUCCGUAUCGUUUAAAGGGACCAUGCUCUUCCCUUCCCAGCACUUCCGUAUCAUUUCCUCUCUCUGAAGAGGCGCUAUCACGUGAGAAAGAUGCUGGGACAUCAUGGACAUCGACCUUUCUCUUUUGCACAGCUUUAUGUUGAACUUUGAAUGGUGGGAUGCUGAUUGGCUGCAUGUUGCUGGCUUCAUUAUCCAGCAUCUCUAGUUCAUCAGCCUCAGGGGCUAUUUUCCUGGAUUUUCCACAGUAUAAGAAAGGCCACAGAGUGAUCCAUAAAAAAAAAAUUCCAUUGCUGAUUCUUGGUGCAGAAUACCAAUACCAGAUGCCAACUACAAUCAUGGGUAAGACUGUUUUCUCAGGGAAUAAUUGGGCAGUUGGGGCCAAUAUUCAAGGAGUGGCUCCCCCUGAAAGGCUAGUUGGGGGCUGCAGAUCUGGAGCCUCAGAGGAUUUAGACAACUUCAAGGUUACCUUAUGGCUGGAGAAGUGAUUAGCACAGAGUUGGUAUUUAUUGAAUACAUGGAUAGGCUAAAGGGAAAAAUAAUUGCUGGAGAAAUGAGGAAUUAUUCUUUGUUCAAUCAUGCUAGGUGAAUAGCUUAUUGGCUACCCGUAUCUUGCGAGAUAGACUCUGAAGUCUUUUUUUUUGCAGCAUGACCCUCCUAAGCUGGUACAUACUAGUCUGUUCUGCCAGGCUUCCUUCCCUAGCAUGGUUCACCUGUGUGUUUUGAGCAGGGAUGCUGCUGAGGCUUAUUCUGUGAGGGUUUCCCUGACCCUUCUAGGAAAUGGCUCUUCUGGGCUCCCAUUGUACCUUGUAUAUACCCCAUUGUAUACCCCUUGAAUAAAAACCUCAUGUUUGGUGGUGAAGAGUCA
rnacentral:lncRNA from 13 species